GACGUACUGCGCGAACGUUAUUCGGAAUCACUGGGCUUAAAGGGUGCGCAGGCGGCUCGUCGAGCCCGUGGUGAAAGGCCCCGGCCCAACCGGGGACGGUCUUCGGGGACUGACGAGCUCGGGCGAGCUAGGGGUCCGUGGAACUCCCGGUGGAGCGGUGAAAUGUGUUGAGAUCGGGAGGAACACCAGUGGCGAAGGCGGCUACCUGGACCAGCACUGACACUGAAGCACGAAAGCGUGGGGAGCAAACAGG
rnacentral:rRNA from 1 species